GACGAACGCUGGCGGCGUGCCUAAUACAUGCAAGUAGAACGCAGUUGCGAACGGGUGAGUAACGCGUAGGUAACUGCCUCAUAGCGGGGGAUAACUAUUGGAAACGAUAGCUAAUACCGCAUACUGUUAGAUGGACCUGCGUUGUAUUAGCUAGUUGGUGCGGUAAAGGCUCACCAAGGCGACGAUACAUUGCCGACCUGAGAGGGUGAUCGGCCAAACGGGGACUGGGACACGGCCCAGAAUCCUACGGGGUGGAGCAGUAGGGAAAUUUCGGAAAUGGACGGAAGUCUGAACGAGCAACGCCGCGGGAGUGAAGAAGGUUUUCGGAGCGUAAAGCUCUGUUGUUAGAGAAGCGGUAACUACCCAGAAAGGGACGGCUAACUACGUGCCAGCAGCCGCGGUAAUAC
rnacentral:rRNA from 1 species